CUGUGCGGGUGGAAGGAAGCGAGGCCCGGCAGCGCGGAGGAGUCAGCGCCUCGCGAGGUGACAAGGUCCGGACUGGCAGGCGGGAAGCACCUUCUGGUAGAUCUCUGCUGCACUCAGUUGCCUCCUGUGCCAUCCUAGUCAAACUACAGCAAGUCAAGGGCAUAGCUGGGAACAAAACGGGGCUUUGUUUGCAAGAUUCGUGAGAUGCCAUUCGGUUCAAUCCGCCUACAAAAUCCUGCGUUUGCCGACACCCGCGGAAAACCGCUGCCUACCAAACGGACACAGAUAACACCCAGGGCUGCACAGCAGUAGGAAGGGAGCAGAGGCCCAGCAACAGCUUUGUGAUUGGUUUGAGGGAAACCGGCCUGCAUUUGCCUGACACACGGAGCUUCUACAGGAGGGGAAUGCUCUGGGGAGCUUCUCGGCCUCUGCUGCCUUGCGUUUGUAUUAAAACUCAGCAUUGCAAUAGCGUUACAGAGUGAGCACUCAGGACUGGUCUGAAAAUACUCUAAAAGGCACAUGGCAAUGUAUGUCAUGACAAGAUGGAGUUUUGUAAUGGGAAGAAAUGAAGAUGAUACAGUGCUGUUCUUCAUCUAAUUAGGGGUGUGUUCCAGCAGUACAGCUGCCCAGAGAGAUCCUGUCCGGGGAGCUAUUUACAACGGGGA